rnacentral:rRNA from 1 species
AUACGUAGGUGGCGAGCGUUAUCCGGAUUUACUGGGUGUAAAGGGCGUGUAGGCGGGUUAGCAAGCUGGAAGUGAAAUACCGCAGCUUAACUGCGGGGCUGCUUUCAAAACUACUAAUCUUGAGUGUCGGAGAGGAAAGUGGAAUUCCUAGUGUAGCGGUGAAAUGCGUAGAUAUUAGGAGGAACACCAGUGGCGAAGGCGACUUUCUGGACGAUAACUGACGCUGAGGCGCGAAAGCGUGGGGAGC